ACUUUUGACGGUGGAUCUCUUGGCUCACGCAUCGACGAAGAACGCAGCCAGCUGCGAUAAGUAGUGUGAAUUGCAGAAUUCAGUGAAUCAUCGAAUCUUUGAACGCAAAUGGCGCUCUUGGGUUCUCCCAGGAGCAUGUCUGUCUGAGUGUCGGAUAU
rnacentral:rRNA from 1 species